AUGAGUAAUAUGGAUAAGGAUUAAUGUUUCUGAAUUCUUGCUUAUUUGUCAUUGUUUUGACUGUAUAUAGUAUACAAUACAAUCUUGCUUAUAAAGGUUUAUUAUUUGUCACUUUUUUGACUGUAUAUAUCAUGAAAGCAGCUCUGCCUACCCUUGCACAGCUUGUACAUUCAAAUGACGAGGAAGUCCUGACAGAUGAAUGCUGGGCGAGAAAAUCCAAGCUGUAAUUGAGGCUGGAGUCUGUCACUGCCUUGUUGAGCUUCUACCGUGAGAAUUAGAUUUUAAUUUCUAUCUUUUAUAAACUCAAAAGGAUCCUUCUAUGCAAAUCCAACGACAUUGGAUGUACCAACAACUGAACCAUCCUUAUACAACAGUAUGGUUAGGAUUUCUCCAUCAUGGGCUAUAUUUUUCACAGUAUACUACUGUAUACUCGAAUUGUAACUCAGAAAAACAGUGAUGUAAAUAAUUUGAUCUACAAAAUAGUUUCUCUAAAAGUAAAAUAAAACUACAAACUAUUAUUGAGUGUCGGUGGUGUCUUAUUGGUACGCCCAUCCAACUUUACUUUCAGAGAAAUCAUUUUGUAGAUCAAAUUAUUUACACCACUGUUAUUAUGAGUUAUGCAUUAUACAAAUCAACAUAUCAUGAACUGAUUCGUUACGUAGCAGUUUGAGAAUCCAGGCCUAGUUGGACAUGUUUGUCAGAUUGUUGUUGACAUCAUGUAACUCUGAUCUAUCAUUCAUCAUGUCACAGUUGGGAGGCUUUCCAACUAGCACAUACUUCAUAUAUGUGUGAAAUCUGCAAAAAAGGCUUCGAGAAUGGACUAGAAUCUGUAGCUUGUGAGAUACAUUCUUUAUUUUGUUUAAAAUAUGUUUUCUUUUUUUUUUUUUUUGCAUUCUCAAUCACGAUCUUAUCUUACCUAUCAAAAUGAGAGAAAAAACCACUGAGCUAGAAUACCAUAAAUACUCAUUUGUUAAUAUUAUUAAUGGUUUGUAAAUAAAUGUAUGUUAUUUUGGUUA